UACGUAGGGUGCAAGCGUUGUCCGGAAUUAUUGGGCGUAAAGAGCUCGUAGGCGGUCUGUCACGUCGGCUGUGAAAACCUGGGGCUCAACCCCGGGCCUGCAGCCGAUACGGGCAGACUAGAAUUCGGUAGGGGAAACUGGAAUUCCUGGUGUAGCGGUGAAAUGCGCAGAUAUCAGGAGGAACACCGGUGGCGAAGGCGGGUCUCUGGGCCGAUAUUGACGCUGAGGAGCGAAAGCGUGGGGAGCGAACAGG
rnacentral:rRNA from 1 species